AUGUUUCUGGUGUUUGUUAGAGAUCAGACACACUUUCACACUAAUGACCGUCUCUCUCUAUCAUUACAGGGUCAGAUCUUCACUCAGCUGUUCCAGGUUCAGAUCUUCACUCAGGUUCAGGUGUGUCUCCAGCUGCUGAAGCAGGGAUUGGUGUUCUUGUUGUUCUGCUGCAGCUGCUGCUGCUGUGAUUAACCAUCACAGAAAGAUCUCUGAACUAAAAAGACAAAAAGAGAAUGGACAAAACCGUAAGAACCAGGACACAGAUGAAGGGACUAAAUUAAACGAUCCCUGAAACAGAGAACAGCAGUAGUUUAAAGUCACUACUGUAUACAGUAACAAUACAUGCAUGAAGAGUGUAUGAAGACAAGCCAUUUUUGCUUUUGUAAUAUAAAAUCUAAUGAGUGAAGAUUCUCAUUUGUUUUGACAUAAAUAGAGAAGCAUGCUUUGAUUUGUGAUGACGUUAAUGUAACAGUUUGCUGUUUGUGCUGAUGCUGAUAUUGCACUGAUCAUAAUAUAUUAUUUUUUACUAAAAGCCAGUUUGACUGAUUUACAGUAAUGCAGGAUGUUACACUGUGAGAUGGCUUGAUUGUUGUGACACCUGCAAAAUUUUGUAGAAAUAAUCUCAAACUAAUUAAUGUAGGCCUAUAUAUGCUUAUAUUCUCUAUAUAAUCGUGUAUGUGACCAAUAAAAAAAAAAAAAAAAACUUGAAUUAGGUGACA
ensembl:lncRNA